rnacentral:rRNA from 1 species
GAUGAACGCUGGCGGCGUGCCUAAUACAUGCAAGUCGAGCGAACAGACGAGGAGCUUGCUCCUCUGACGUUAGCGGCGGACGGGUGAGUAACACGUGGAUAACCUACCUAUAAGACUGGGAUAACUUCGGGAAACCGGAGCUAAUACCGGAUAAUAUAUUGAACCGCAUGGUUCAAUAGUGAAAGACGGUUUUGCUGUCACUUAUAGAUGGAUCCGCGCCGCAUUAGCUAGUUGGUAAGGUAACGGCUUACCAAGGCAACGAUGCGUAGCCGACCUGAGAGGGUGAUAGGCCACACUGGAACUGAGACACGGUCAAGACUCCUACGGGAGGCAGCAGUAGGGAAUCUUCCGCAAUGGGCGAAAGCAUGACGGAGCAACGCCGCGUGAGUGAUGAAGGUCUUCGGAUCGUAAAAAUCUGUUAUUAGGGAAGAACAAAUGUGUAAGUAACUAUGCACGUCUUGACGGUACCUAAUCAGAAAGCCACGGCUAACUACGUG